rnacentral:lncRNA from 1 species
CUGCAUAAUGUCUUGCUUGGACUGCUGCACUGUCCAACCUUCAGCAUCCUUGGUGGCCUUAGAGUUUAGACAAGUGAGUUCUAUGAGAUUUGGAGCCCUGGGAUGAAGCUUGUAAAUAAAAUGAGAGCUGCUCCUGUGAAGUAAGAAGAAGGGGCCCUCAGGAACAGGAACCUGCCUUGAAGAUCAUUCUUCUGACCUGAAACUCUCAUCACAGCUUCAGAGCAGAGGCAGGAAACUGUCAGAAAGGAGCAGAUUCUGGGUUUGCAUAGCCUGAAGUAGCGGUCGUUAUCCGGCUCACGAAUAUCACCACAUCCAGAAGGCCUCACCGUGAUGGUGAAAGGUCUGCACCAAGUUUCAGGAAACAGCUGUAUGUUCCACCUUCUCUGUACUUUCCCAAAAGGAACAGAAAAAGAACAGAUCCCAGGCGAGUUGUUUAUUUAUUCACUUCUCAUAUUGUCUUCCAUUGCAGGAAACAAUUAAAGAUUAAAAUAAAAAUUAUCAAGGAAUAUAUAGAGUUAACAGAUCUAAAACAAGGAAAAGUCAGC